rnacentral:rRNA from 1 species
AGGACGAACGCUGGCGGCGCGCUUAAGUACAUGCAAGUCGAGCGAGAACCAGGGCUUCGGCCCUGGGGACAGCGGCGAACGGGUGAGUAACACGUGGGUAAUCAACCCCCGACACCGGGAUAGCCCAGGGAAACUUGGAUUAAUACCGGAUGCUCCAUCUGGCUUUCGAGCCGGCUGGAAAAGGGUAGCUUCGGCCUCCGGUCGGGGACGAGCCCGCGGCGGAUUAGCUUGUUGGUGAGGUAAAGGCUCACCAAGGCGACGAUCCGUAGCUGGUCUGAGAGGACGAUCAGCCACACUGGGACUGAGACACGGCCCAGACUCCUACGGGAGGCAGCAGUAGGGAAUCUUGCGCAAUGGGCGAAAGCCUGACGCAGCGACGCCGCGUGAGGGAAGAAGGCCUUCGGGUUGUAAACCUCUUUCAGGAGGGACGAAGCCACUCGGGUUAAUAGCCCAGAGGGUGACGGUACCUCCAGAAGAAGCCCCGGCUAACUACGUGCCAGCAGCCGCGGU